CAGAAAACCCCCGACGUCCUUGCAAGCCUCUAAAAAUCACAGGCCUGGACCUCACCCCUGUAAACUGUACAUCUCAACAAGGCAUUUCUUUGGAGCAUCCUCCAUGCCAGCCAUCCCAAGCCAGUAAGUAAGUCU